AUUGGGCGUAAGCGCGCGCAGGUGGUUUCUUAAGUCUGAUGUGAAAGCCCACGGCUCAACCGUGGAGGGUCAUUGGAAACUGGGAGACUUGAGUGCCCAAGAGGAAAGUGGAAUUCCAUGUGUAGCGGUGAAAUGCGUAGAGAUAUGGAGGAACACCAGUGGCGAAGGCGACUUUCUGGUCUGUAACUGACACUGAGGCGCGAAAGCGUGGGGAGCAAACAGGAUUAUAUACCCU
rnacentral:rRNA from 1 species